rnacentral:rRNA from 1 species
AUUGAACGCUGGCGGCAUGCUUUACACAUGCAAGUCGAACGGUAACAGGCCGCAAGGUGCUGACGAGUGGCGAACGGGUGAGUAAUGCAUCGGAACGUGCCCAGUCGUGGGGGAUAACUACUCGAAAGAGUAGCUAAUACCGCAUACGAUCUAUGGAUGAAAGCGGGGGACCGUAAGGCCUCGCGCGAUUGGAGCGGCCGAUGUCAGAUUAGGUAGUUGGUGGGGUAAAGGCUCACCAAGCCAACGAUCUGUAGUUGGUCUGAGAGGACGACCAGCCACACUGGGACUGAGACACGGCCCAGACUCCUACGGGAGGCAGCAGUGGGGAAUUUUGGACAAUGGGCGCAAGCCUGAUCCAGCAAUGCCGCGUGCAGGAAGAAGGCCUUCGGGUUGUAAACUGCUUUUGUACGGAACGAAACGGCUCUGGUUAAUACCCGGGGCUAAUGACGGUACCGUAAGAAUAAGCACCGGCUAACUACGUG